rnacentral:rRNA from 1 species
AGAGUUUGAUCCUGGCUCAGAUUGAACGCUAGCGGGAUGCUUUACACAUGCAAGUCGAACGGCAGCACGAGAGAGCUUGCUCUCUUGGUGGCGAGUGGCGGACGGGUGAGUAAUAUAUCGGAACGUGCCCAGUAGCGGGGGAUAACUACUCGAAAGAGUGGCUAAUACCGCAUACGCCCUACGGGGGAAAGGGGGGGAUCGCAAGACCUCUCACUAUUGGAGCGGCCGAUAUCGGAUUAGCUAGUUGGUGGGGUAAAGGCUCACCAAGGCAACGAUCCGUAUCUGGUUUGAGAGGACGACCAGCCACACUGGGACUGAGACACGGCCCAGACUCCUACGGGAGGCAUCAGUGGGGAAUUUUGGACAAUGGGGGGAAACCCUGAUCCAGCCAUCCCGCGUGUAUGAUGAAGGCCUUCGGGUUGUAAAGUACUUUUGGCAGAGAAGAAAAGGCAUCCCCUAAUACGGGAUGCUGCUGACGGUAUCUGCAGAAUAAGCCCCGGCUAACUACGUGCCAGCAGCCGCGGUAAUACGUAGGGUGCAAGCGUUAAUCGGAAUUACUGGGCGUAAAGCGUGUGUAGGCGGUUCGGAAAGAAAGAUGUGAAAUCCCAGGGCUCAACCUUGGAACUGCAUUUUUAACUGCCGAGCUAGAGUAUGUCAGAGGGGGGUAGAAUUCCACGUGUAGCAGUGAAAUGCGUAGAUAUGUGGAGGAAUACCGAUGGCGAAGGCAGCCCCCUGGGAUAAUACUGACGCUCAGACACGAAAGCGUGGGGAGCAAACAGGAUUAGAUACCCUGGUAGUCCACGCCCUAA